CAUACCAUGCAAGAUCGAGCGAUUCUCCUUCGGAGAAGAGCGGCGGACGGGUGAGUAACGCGUGGGCUAACCUGCCCUGUACACACGGAUAACAUACCGAAAGGUAUGCUAAUACGGGAUAACAUAUUUUGAUGGCAUCAUCGAAAUAUCAAAGCUCCGGCGGUACAGGAUGGACCCGCGUCUGAUUAGCUAGUUGGUGAGGUAAUGGCUCACCAAGGCAACGAUCAGUAGCCGACCUGAGAGGGUGAUCGGCCACAUUGGAACUGAGACACGGUCCAAACUCCUACGGGAGGCAGCAGUGGGGAAUAUUGCACAAUGGGCGAAAGCCUGAUGCAGCAACGCCGCGUGAGCGAUGAAGGCCUUCGGGUCGUAAAGCUCUGUCCUCAAGGAAGAUAAUGACGGUACUUGAGGAGGAAGCCCCGGCUAACUACGUGCCAGCAGCCGCGGUAAUACGUAGGGGGCUAGCGUUAUCCGGAAUUACUGGGCGUAAAGGGUGCGUACGUGGUUUUUCAAUUCACAAGUGAAAGGCUACGGCUCAACCGUUAGUAAGCUUUUGAAACUGAGAAACUUGAGUGCCAGAUCAGGACUAU
rnacentral:rRNA from 1 species